rnacentral:lncRNA from 1 species
ACCUUCAGAAUCCUUGCCACUUACAUUCAAAUGUGCAGAAAUAUGUUUUAGUUGACUGUUAAUUUCACAUAAUGUCUCUUGAAAAAUGUUUCCUUCUGCAUUUAUUGAACAAUUAGUUUUCACAGUAUCAAAGUACAUUGAAGCAGUAAUAAACUUCCCUAAGCCUUGCAUAUGGCCAGUAACAGGAGGUUUGCCUAAUGCUUUAGCAAGAAUAUCAUCCCUUCCCUCAACUUUCAUUACUCCUUUCUUUACUUCCCUAGCCAAAUUAUCCUAAAACCGAAACCAAAUAUUAAUGAAUCCAACAUAAUUUCCAAAUUUUCCCUCAAAAAAUAGUAUAAAUUCAUGAACAACAUCAAUAAUUCUUACAAUCUUAUUAACAAUGGGUAAUGCUUCAGAUUUAAACUCUCCAGACUUGCUUUUGCGUCCCUCUUUCCAUAAAAUGCUUCUAUCAAUUUGUAAUUCAGAUAGGCCUGUCUCUUUCAUCUAUUUAGAAAAGUAUCAAGAAUUAAUUACAUGAAAUAAAAAGAAGGUUAAUAAUUAAUUUAAUUAUUAAUUGAAACUUCACAAUUGAGACAAUUAAUUUUGAAAUAAGUUAUCACUUACAAUUUUCUUAACUACCCUCUUAUAACCACCAGAACCCAAGCUAUGAUUAUACUGGUUCUGCUUUCGAGCAUCUUGUGCUCUUCUCCGUUGCUCCUAUACAUUGAAAUGAUUGUAAAACAUAGACAUUACAUAUAGACUAUAGCAAAGAUACAAUGAUAAGAGUGGCAUAACCUGUAUCAAUACCUCAAAAUUAUGUGAUAGUUUUUGAUCCACAAACUCUUUCCAAUGAUGAUCUUUGAUAUACUGAUAGUUCAAUGGCGGUUUCUGUAAUUCUCUACGAUUAUGCUUGUUCGGGACAAUAUAAGUGACAUACAAGUUGUGACGAAACUGUCUAUGUGCUGUUCCCAUUUGCAUGAUAACUUGUUUUUUGGAGCAUACAUCCACUUUAAAUAGUUUCUACAAUUAAACAUGCUGAAAAAAUGAAUAACUGAAAACAACAUGUGAAACUCUUUAUAUUUUUAAAUGAUAGGAAUAAAAUUGUAAAUAAUCAAACCAUAAGUUGUUAUCAUUUUCAAAAAGCAUUGUAUCAACCAAAAUCAAUAUCACAAUCUGAAAAUUCAUGCUUCAUAUAGAACUAUACAGAGGUUUACACACAUCAAGUAAACUAUUAUCCUUUUAUUGACCUAAAGAAUUAACUACAAAACUGAUUCUCCUUUAAGUUUUUUAAAUACUUGAAACAUUACCUGGAUGUAUUUCCAUAACUCUUCUUUGUAAAUUUGAGGAACUUUACGCCAAUCAUUGUACACGAUAGGUAUCACUUGACGUGCCAACAUACCAAUAGUUUGGUCCAUGUCAAUGGCCUCAGCUCCACAAGGAAUUCCUCUUUCAUUAUAUUCAACCACGAUCUGACCACUAUUUGAUUGUCUUUUAAAUACACUAGCUUUUUUAGUGAUUCCUCUUGAAGGUCGACCAUUAAGAUCCAAUGGAUCACUAUCAUUAUUUUCACCACCAUAAGCAUUGUUUUCUGAUUCACACAUUCUGUUAGAAAAGAAACAUAAAAAUCAUUAGUAUUGGUCAAGCUUAACAGAAAAUUUUAACUACAAAAUAAAAAAUAAACAUUAAUCAUAGAUAAUGAAUGUAUUAACAACCACUGAAAAAAUUUAAUAAAAAUAAAACUAACAAUAUUAAUUACUGCUAAAAAAACACUUACUAUAAUGUGAAUUUAAUAUGCCAUAUUCUGUUGAUUGUUAAUUAUCAACUCUAACACUUGGCCAGCCUGGACGAUGAUAGAUUUUAACAUCAUCAUCUUCCUUAUCAAACGAAUUAACUGUUGGUGCUUCAUUUAAAAAGGGAGGAUGUUCAAUGAUGUUGUCUCCCUCAACUUUAUUUGCCAUAGAUUCAUUGACCUUUUGGGCCAUAGCACACACAACUGAAAGACGUUCAUCACGUUGAUCAGGAACAUAAAAUACUUGUUUUGCUUGAGAAGCUAAGAUAAACAAAUCAUUUUUGUGACCUAUCCGAUCAAGUUCAACAGAGGUGAAACCAAGAUCAUCAACAUGAACACCGUUGCCACUGUCAACCCAAUCAACCAUAAACACCAACACCUUGAACAUAGUAUAAUCAAUAUCCCAUAUCUCAUUGAUAACCCCAUAAUAUGUCAUGUCACUAACUACAGGAUUUUUGUCUUUAGCACUUGCAAUUUGCAUUGUGUUUGCCACAAUAGUUACACCACUAUUUUGAGUCACUCGAUUCGUAUCUCGAUCUCGUGCUAGAAAAUAAAACCCAUUUAUGAGAUACCCUGGAUAUUUAAUCACAUUUGGGCGAGGUCCUUGUGAUAACCACCACAAUGAAUUUGAAACUAAUUCAUCAUUUAAUUGUGCGUUUGACACCUACAUGUAUUAGAUUUAUUAGUAUUGUAUUACUAAAAGGGUAAAGAUUUUCCUUAUUUAAAAGAACUUGGACAGCAACAAACCUUCUCAUCCAACCAGUAAGUAAAGGUGCGAUGGUGCUGGUCUUGUAACCAUUUUGUAUUUUUUGAUUUACGAGGAUAUUGUUUCUUUAACCACCUCAUGUGUUCACUAAAAAAAAGUAACAUGGACAUGAAUCUUUAUAAAUUAUAAGUUUUAAAUGACAAAGCAUAUCAAAAAGUUAAAAGAUUCUUACUCAAUAUAAGGUUGAACCUCUGCUGUGUUUUGUAACACAUAACGAUGUGCUUGCUCCAACAGUUCAUGACGAACUUCUACCAUUACUCCACUUGUUAAAGGCUUUUCAAUUAAUAUCAUGUCUUUUUGUCCAGGGGGAUUUCCAAUUGCAUUUAAAACUGAUAGGAAAUCAGCACAAAAUUCCAUUGCUUCUUCAACCAUGUAACACUGAGCUAUGCAUCCUUCAGGACGGUUGCGAUUACGGACAUAACCUUUCAAAGGUUUCAUUUCCCUUUCAAAUGGGUACAUCCACCUAAGACACACCGGACCACAAAGCCUAACUUCUUCUACUAGGUGAACAGUCAAAUGAAUCAUGAUGUCGAAAAAGCAAGGCAUAAAGGUUUUUUCCAACACACACAGAGUUUCAACGAUGUCAAGUUGUAAUUGAUCAAGCUUAUUUGGGUCAACGACAUUAGUGCACAAAGAAUUGAAGAAAAAGCAAAGUCUUAUGAUGGCACAUCUAACAUGUUCUGGUAAAAUUGACCUUAUUGCUAAGGGUAAGAUUUGUUGCAUUAGGACAUGACAAUCAUGAGAUUUUAAUCCAUGAAGCUUCAAAUCUGACAUAGAUACAAGAUUUUUCAAGUUUGAACAAUAUCCUUCAGCGACUUUGAUAUCUACUAAGGUUUGACAAAACUUCAUUUUCUCCUCUCUGCUUAAUGUGAAACAAGCUGGUGGUAAAACUGUACUACUUCCCUCAUUUUUUGGAGUUAACUCAGGCCUAAUCUUUAACUCUACAAGAUCUAAUCUUGCUUUAAGACCAUCUUUAGUCUUACCCGGAAUAUUUAAUAGAGUGCCAUAAAUGCUCUCACAUACAUUUUUUUCAAUAUGCAUCACAUCUAAUUGAUGUCGAACAAGUAAAUGUUUCCAAUACACAAGCUCAAAAAAAAUUGAUUUCUUUUUAUAACACACCUUCACAUCACCUUUUACACUACUUACCCCCUUUUUUCGUUUCAUUUUUUUCUUGUUCUUCCCAUAUGUGCAGUUAAUGCCAUCAACCAUCUUUAAAAUUUGCUCACCAGUCAAUGGUUUAGGAGGGAACUCAGUCUCUACCUUAUUGUUAAAUACUCUUGUUUUGUCUCUAAAAGAAUGACCACGUGGAAGAAAUCGUCGGUGGCCCAUAUAUACCAUUUUAUUACUAUGCGACAGCCACUGUGCAGCAGUUCCUUCCUUGCAAAUUGGACAAGCAUAGUAUCCCUUUGUAACACAACCAGAUAAAUUACCAUAUGCAGGGAAGUCGCUUAUAGUCCACAUUAACAUGGCACGUAAAAUGAAAGACUCUUGCUUACUCGCAUCAUAGGCUUCAAUGCCCACAUCCCAUAAAAUUUUCAAAUCAUCAAUCAAUGGUGCUAAGUAAACAUCAAUAUCAUUUCCGGGUUGUCGCGGCCCAGAGAUCAACAAAGACAACAUCAAGAACUUUCUUUUCAUGCACAACCAAGGUGGAAGGUUAUAAUUAACAAGUAUAACUGGCCAGCAACUAUACUGGCUACUGAGGGUACCAAAAGGAUUGAUCCCAUCAGAACAAAGAGCAAACCUAACAUUUCUAAUCUCAGAGGCAAAAUCAGGCCAUAAUUUGUCAACUAAUUUCCAUGAAGGAGAGUCAGCAGGAUGACGAAGCAUACCAUCAUUUUCUCUACCAUGUGCAUGCCAAGUUAAGUCUUUUGCAGUUUCAGGAGAUUGAAACAAGCGUCUCAACCUAGGAACGAUAGGAAAAUACCACAGGACUUUUGCAGGAACCUUCAGUUUUUUUUUAUCUAUGUGCUUACUUUGAUUCUUCCAUCUUGAUUGCCCACAAGAAGGGCAUUCAACAAGAUUCUCGUAGUUCUUUCGAUAGAGAAUACAAUCAUUAGGACAUGCAUGUAUUUUCUCAUACUGCACACCCAAUACACUCAUUGUUUUUUUAGCCUCAUAAAUUGAUAAAGGUAAUAGAUUAUCUUCUGGAAAAAUAUCUUGAAGACAAAUGAGCAAUUCUGAAAAACUUUUAUCUGACCACCCAUAUCUCCCUUUUACAUUGUAUAAUUUCAACAAACCAGAUAACUUUGUAUAUUUACUACAACCAGGAUAUAAAGGCUUCUCAGCAUCUUCUAAUAAAUCCCUCAAUGACUCAACAUCAUUAUCACAAUAUCUAAAUGCAUCAUGCACCAUUUCAACAGUGGCAGCAAAGUCAUUGUUGGUAUUUUGGUCAUUAUAGUGGUCUUCGCAUGAGAAUGUUGUCUUCUCUCCAUGCCAAGACCAAUCUUUGUAACUUCCAUCAAUACCAUUCACAAAUAGAUGAUCUACUACCUCUCGAGGUGUUCGAUAUAUCAUGUUCACACAUUUUUCACAUGGACACCUUAUAAAGUUAGGGUUAUCAGAAUUUUUAAUGGCAUACUUAAUAAAGCUGGCAACCCCUUUUUCAUAAGCAAUGGACUGCCUAUUGGAUGACAUCCAUGAUUUAUCCAUUGUAUGAAGUAGAAAAUAUCUCCCUGAAAAGACAUGAUAUAUUUAAUUAUUUAAUUAAUUUAAUGAGUAUUAAUUAUAUAAUAGGAGUAGAAAGAUAAAAAAAAAUUUAAGUAAUAGUAAUAAUAGUGGGUGCCAUUUAUUUGGAAUGUAAACUUUCUUAUAUUAAAAACAAGAGAUCUAAGGCUUGACUCACAUAGGUGGGAAGAAAUUAAUUGGAUUGCCAUUAUGUUAAAUAAAAUAAAAGAUAAUAGUAUUAUUAAGUAGUACUUCCUUACUAUUCCUAUAUUAGUCAUUAAUCAUUAUUUUUCCGAAUAAAUCAUGAAACAACAAUUUGGAUAUUUGAAUAUAAGAAAUAAUUGUUUAAAAACAUAGUUUAUGUAAUAGGUGCUUGUAGCUUUUACCAAUAAAACAUAUUCUUUUAUGAAUUAGCUCUGUCACUUUAAUAUUUUGAUACUUUGGACCAAUUUUUACUAUAUUCUCUUUUGAUUUUGAACAUAUUUUUUAUAUGAACAAUUUUUAUGACACUGUUUUCCUUAUCUUUUACUACUUUUACUAUUAAUUUCAGUCAAAAAAACUUUUGCUCUGUACUUGUGUACAUUUUAUUUUUCCAACUUUUUUUAAGGAAUGAAGAAGGUGGCUAUAAUUUGUCAUGCAAAGUGUUAAGAAUAAGGAUGUUAAUUAGUUGUACAUCUUUAAUAGUUACUUGAUUUUCUAAUAAAUCCAAAACAUAUGAACUAUCAACUACAAAGUAUGAAUUAUUACUUGAAACCAUCUGCAAAAGCUCUACUUUUUACUAACAGCACAUAAAUAAAUUAUUCAUCAUUGUUGUAUUAGUAAAGGUGUCAUCUAGCACAUGCUAUAUUCCAAACACAAAGACAAAACUAUAAUUAACAUACUUUGCACUAAAAGCACAUAAAUAAAUUAUUCAUCAGUGUUGUAUUAGUAAAGGGGUCAUGUAGCACAUGCUAUAUUCCAAACACAAAGGCAAAAU